CUUGCACAGAAUGAUUAGUGGCGAACGGGUGAGUAACACGUGAGUAACCUGCCCUUAACUUCGGGAUAAGCCUGGGAAACUGGGUCUAAUACCGGAUACGACCAUCUGGCGCAUGCCAUGGUGGUGGAAAGCUUUAUGCGGUUUUGGAUGGACUCGCGGCCUAUCAGCUUGUUGGUUGGGGUAAUGGCCCACCAAGGCGACGACGGGUAGCCGGCCUGAGAGGGUGACCGGCCACACUGGGACUGAGACACGGCCCAGACUCCUACGGGAGGCAGCAGUGGGGAAUAUUGCACAAUGGGCGAAAGCCUGAUGCAGCGACGCCGCGUGAGGGAUGACGGCCUUCGGGUUGUAAACCUCUUUCAGCAGGGAAGAAGCGAAAGUGACGGUACCUGCAGAAGAAGCGCCGGCUAACUACGUGCCAGCAGCCGCGGUAAUACGUAGGGCGCAAGCGUUAUCCGGAAUUAUUGGGCGUAAAGAGCUCGUAGGCGGUUUGUCGCGUCUGCUGUGAAAGCCCGGGGCUCAACCCCGGGUCUGCAGUGGGUACGGGCAGACUAGAGUGCAGUAGGGGAGACUGGAAUUCCUGGUGUAGCGGUGAAAUGCGCAGAUAUCAGGAGGAACACCGAUGGCGAAGGCAGGUCUCUGGGCUGUAACUGACGCUGAGGAGCGAAAGCAUGGGGAGCGAACAGGAUUAGAUACCCUGGUAGUCCAUGCCGUAAACGU
rnacentral:rRNA from 1 species